CUGAGCUUUCGCUCGCCGUCCACCACUGCUGUUUGCCACCAUCGCAGACCCGCCGCUGACUUCCAUCCCUCCGGAUCCGGCAGGGUGUCCACUAUGUUCCUGAUCCAGCGAGGCGCCCAUUGCCGCUCCCGAUCCCGCGGCAUAUUAAGGCUUGCCAUUGUUCCUGCACGGCUAAGUGCCUGGGGGCCAGUGAUGUUUUGGAAGAAGGAGAGGGCACACAGCCCCCUGGUGGAUGCUCUCGGAACUCUAAGGGUUGGAGACACACACCUCUUCUACCCACCUGCCCAUUUCAAGUUGAUAUUUUUGUUUUUGGAUGAAGGCAAAAGAGUUUAAGAUGGUGGAGCCUUAUUAUGCAAAGGAACCCAAUCCCAGCAUCCACCAGCUGGAAGAAGACUGCCCAGGACUGCUCCCUUCCCGGGAACGUCUGCAUCAGACUCUGUAGGGGAGGGAAAUAAACCUUCAUUGUGUUUAGGCAGUGA